rnacentral:rRNA from 1 species
GACGAACGCUGGCGGCGUGCUUAACACAUGCAAGUCGAACGGAAAGGCCCUGCUUUUGUGGGGUGCUCGAGUGGCGAACGGGUGAGUAACACGUGAGUAACCUGCCCUUGACUUUGGGAUAACUUCAGGAAACUGGGGCUAAUGCCGGAUAGGAGCUCCUGCUGCAUGGUGGGGGUUGGAAAGUUUCGGCGGUUGGGGAUGGACUCGCGGCUUAUCAGCUUGUUGGUGGGGUAGUGGCUUACCAAGGCUUUGACGGGUAGCCGGCCUGAGAGGGUGACCGGCCACAUUGGGACUGAGAUACGGCCCAGACUCCUAUGGGAGGCAGCAGUGGGGAAUAUUGCACAAUGGGCGGAAGCCUGAUGCAGCAACGCCGCGUGCGGGAUGACGGCCUUCGGGUUGUAAACCGCUUUCGCCUGUGACGAAGCGUGAGUGACGGUAAUGGGUAAAGAAGCACCGGCUAACUACGUG